UUAUUCUAUGAUAAAUUCAUCAGAAUCAUAAUCAACGUUAAAAAAACUCAUGUCUACAAAGCAGUGAAUUGAUCAGGUAACUGUUAAUUACACAUAAUGUUUAGGAGAGUUUUAAUACUAGUAUUAUUUCCCUUAGGGUCAUCUUAGAAAGUAUUUAACUGAACAAAACAGGGAUGUCUGCCGACUUCUUGUUUUACUACUAAGGUCAUGGUACUACCCAAAAGAUUAAGUUUAGCUUGUACCUCAUUGCUUAACUUUAGGGAAAAAAACAAACUAGCAUGUUUCCUUUUUUCCUUUUCAUAUUGAACUAUUAUUGAUUUUUGUUUUAGUUUAUCCUUAUGCGGGCCAAUGGCUGCUUAUGUGAACCCUCAUGGGUAUGUGCAUGAGACGCUGACUGUGUAUAAAGCCUGCAACUUGAAUCUGACAAGCCGGCCUUCUACAGAGCACAGCUGGUUUCCUGGGUAUGCCUGGACAGUUGCCCAGUGUAGGAUCUGUGCAAGUCAUAUUGGAUGGAAAUUUACAGCCACCAAGAAAGACAUGUCACCUCAGAAAUUCUGGGGUUUAACUCGAUCUGCUCUGUUACCCACAAUUCCAGACACUGACGAUGAAAUAAGUCCAGAUAAAGUAAUACUUUGCUUGUAA
rnacentral:lncRNA from 1 species